CAUCGGGAGUAGACAACAGGGAUUGCCCCAGUAACGGCGAGUGAAGCGGCAACAGCUCAAAUUUGAAAUCUGGCCCCCCCCCCCGCGGGGCCCGAUUUUUUAUUUGCGAAGGAUGCUUUUGGGGGGCCGCCUUCCUAGUUGCCUGGAACGGGCCUCCAUAGAGGGAGACACCCCCGUCUGGACGGACGCCUACCCUCUGUAAACUUCCUUCAACCAAUCAAGUAGUUUGGGAAGGCUGCUCUGAAUGGGAGGUAUAUGUCUUCUAAAACUAAAUAUUGGACACAGACCGAUAGCGCACAAAUAGAUUGAUCGAAAAAUAAAAAUUACUUUGAAAAGAGGGUUAAACCGUACGUGAAAUUGUUGAAAGGGAAUCGCUUGUGACCACACUUGGGGGGGAUCAACCAGCCUUCUUUCCCGCGCGCUCCCUCCCCCCCGGCCCGGCCUCCAUUCGUUCCGGGGGAGAAAGGAAGCCGGCAGGAACCUCCCCCCCCCGGGAUUGUUACCGGCCCGCACUGACUCGCGCCGGACUGACGUUCGUUCGUCCGCCCGGAUGGUGGCUGAAUGAUUGCCAACGACUCACCUUGCUUGAAACACCGACCAGUCAUCCUCCCAUGCAAGUGUUCGUUUGGCUAACCCCUACCCACACUGAAUGUGAACGCACGUGAGAGACUCUCUGCGCAUCAUCCAUCGAUCCUGAUGUACUCUCAUGGAUGUGAGUGAGAACAUACAGGGCCGGACCCACCCGAAGGUGAACUAUGUAUGUGUGUGGUGAGUGCAGAGGAAACACUGGUGGAGGCUCGCAGCGGUUGUGUCUUACGUAUAGAUCGAUCGACAUGGAUGGGGGGGGCGAGAGACUAAUCAAACCCAUCUUUUUAGCUAGGUGGCUGCCGACGUCUUCCCCGCGAAAAAGAUAAAAAA
rnacentral:rRNA from 1 species